CGGGUGAGUAAUGUAUGGGGAUCUGCCUGAUGGCGGGGGAUAACUACUGGAAACGGUAGCUAAUACCGCAUAAUGUCUGCGGACCAAAGCGGGGGACCUCCGGGCCUCGCGCCAUCAGAUGAACCCAUAUGGGAUUAGCUAGUAGGUAAGGUAACGGCUUACCUAGGCGACGAUCCCUAGCUGGUCUGAGAGGAUGAUCAGCCACACUGGGACUGAGACACGGUCCAG
rnacentral:rRNA from 1 species